GACAGAGGGUGCAAACGUUGCUCGGAAUCACUGGGCGUAAAGGGCGUGUAGGCGGGAAGGUAAGUCGGGCGUGAAAUCUCGGAGCUUAACUCCGAAACUGCAUUCGAUACUGCCGUGCUUGAGGACUGGAGAGGAGACUGGAAUUUACGGUGUAGCGGUGAAAUGCGUAGAUAUCGUAAGGAAGACCAGUGGCGAAGGCGGGUCUCUGGGCAGUUCCUGACGCUGAGGCACGAAGGUCAGGGGAGCAAACGGG
rnacentral:rRNA from 1 species